rnacentral:lncRNA from 1 species
AAAAGUUCAGUUCUUUUCCAUGUCUUCUCUCUCUCAUUUAGGGUUUUAUCCCUCAUUUUGAUUUCUUUUGAUUGACUCAAUAAUGAAUUCUGACAUGGUAUCAGAGCGGUUCAAUCGAUCCGCCUCACUCCAAGCUUUCGUCCGAUGGUAACCUUCAAGUCUAGUUCGUCGAUUUCUCCCAGACCAAAGAGUUUCAUGUAAAAACUUUUUGAGAUCUUUUUGGCUUGUUCGUCUCCUCUCUGGUGUAAGAAGACCUUAACUUCUUCAGGUGUGUGAACAAGGAGGGUAAAAGCUUCUGUCCUCCUAAUUGCAUGUGAAAAUCUAGGUGAAAUUAGUGCAUCUCGCCAUACUUGUGAAGAUUUCUAAUCUGGUUUAUUUCUGUAGCUCUUUACAAAUUUUUGGUAUCGUUUGCAAAAUGUCAGUAUAAGAGUUCUGUUAUGUAAUUGAAUAUGGAAACUCCUCCAACCUCUAGUGAAGGAUUUACUGAGUUUACUGUAGACUCAUCUCACCCGUUUUAUGUUCAUCCUUCUG